UAGGUGUUGGGGAUCCGAACUCAGGUC
rnacentral:piRNA from 1 species